UGGGGAAUCUUGCGCAAUGGGCGAAAGCCUGACGCAGCGACGCCGCGUGCGGGAAGAAGGCCUUCGGGUUGUAAACCGCUUUCAGGAGGGACGAAGCCACUCGGGUGAAUAGCCCAGAGGGUGACGGUACCUUCAGAAGAAGCCCCGGCUAACUACGUGCCAGCAGCCGCGGUAAUACGUAGGGGGCCAGCGUUGUCCGGAUUCAUUGGGCGUAAAGCGCGUGUAGGCGGCCAGGUAGGUCCGAUGUGAAAACUGGAGGCUCAACCUCCAGCUGUCAUUGGAAACCAUCUGGCUAGAGUCCGGAAGAGGAGAGUGAAAUUCCUGGUGUAGCGGUGAAAUGCGCAGAUAUCAGGAAGAACACCAAUGGCGAAGGCAGCUCUCUGGGACGGUACUGACGCUGAGACGCGAAAGCGUGGGGAGCGAACAGG
rnacentral:rRNA from 1 species